rnacentral:rRNA from 1 species
UACAGAGGUCUCAAGCGUUGUUCGGAUUCAUUGGGCGUAAAGGGUGCGUAGGCGGCGCGGUAAGUCGGGUGUGAAAUCUCGGAGCUUAACUCCGAAACUGCAUUCGAUACUGCCGUGCUUGAGGACUGGAGAGGAGACUGGAAUUCCUGGUGUAGCGGUGAAAUGCGCAGAUAUCAGGAGGAACACCGGUGGCGAAGGCGGGUCUCUGGGCCGACACUGACGCUGAGGAGCGAAAGCCAGGGGAGCAAACGGG